rnacentral:lncRNA from 1 species
CCUGACCCAGUCCCCUGUGAUGGAGCUGGGAUUGCUCCAACUCCUCAGUGGAGCUUCACUGACUUGCAGUGACCAGUGCCUGGCCAUCUCCUUCCUGCCUUUGAUUUUGGUUUGUUCACAGACCAUGGUGGAACCAAGGAGGGACGUCAACCUCAAGAUACACUUGGCAAGCUGACAUGGCCAGAGCUACUGGAAAAACACCAGCACAGACAGCCAUUUCCCCAUGAUCCCCAGAUAUUUACAACCUUCCAGUUCUACUGAGCAGGUUGCUUUGCAAUUGACAACAGAAAGAAAGGUGGCUUCAAGACAGAGAGAUUCCUACGCACCAGAGAUUAUUCCACAGACCAGAGGCACCUCUCCAUUUAAUGCAGCCCAACAGAAGGUAACACACCUGGUCUUCACCAAGACAGCCCAUUGAUAAGAAAAUGAAAACCACACUGGCCUUCCAUGCCUUCACGGUGGAUACCAAGGAAGCCAAGCCUAGCACAGACAGAGCAAAAGAGAGAGGCCAUGGUCUUCAGGCUGACAAGGGCUGCAGAAGCUUGCAAUCAUCUCAAAACCUGAGACUGCUAUCAGGAGCUGAGGGUAAGUUAACCACAGGCAGAUCUCUCAGCUGGGAUCAGGCCAGAGCGGCG